rnacentral:rRNA from 1 species
AGUGGCAAACGGGUGAGUAACGCGUGGGAAUCUACCCAGUAGUACGGAAUAACAGUUGGAAACGACUGCUAAUACCGUAUAGUAUCGAGAGAUUAAAGAUUUAUCGCUACUGGAUGAGCCCGCGUCAGAUUAGGUAGUUGGUGGGGUAAUGGCCUACCAAGCCGAAGAUCUGUAGCUGGUCUGAGAGGAUGAUCAGCCACACUGGAACUGAGACACGGUCCAGACUCC